rnacentral:rRNA from 1 species
UACGGGGGGGGCAAGCGUUGUCCGGAAUCAUUGGGCGUAAAGGGCGCGUAGGUGGCCCGGUCAGUUCGUGGUGAAAGCGCGGGGCUCAACCCUGCGUCGGCCAUGAAUACUGCCGCGGCUGGAGCACUGUAGAGGCAGGCGGAAUUCCGGGUGUAGCGGUGGAAUGCGUAGAGAUCCGGAAGAACACCGGUGGCGAAGGCGGCCUGCUGGGCAGUUGCUGACACUGAGGCGCGACAGCGUGGGGAGCAAACAGG